GUGUUUAAAUGUUCAAUUAACAUAAUCUGUUUCUAAGAACCAUGUGUUUAAAUGUUCAAUUAACAUAAUUCGUUUCUAAGAUCCAUGUGUUUAAAUGUUCACUUAAAAUAAUCCGUUUCUAAGAACCAUGUGUUUAAAUGUUCAAUUAACAUAAUCCGUUUCUAAGAUCCAUGUGUUUAAGUGUUCAAUAACAAUCCAUUUCUAAGAUCUAAAUGUUUACUAAACAUAAUCCUUUUCUAAGAUCUAUGUGUUUAAAUGUUGAUUAAACAUAAUCCAUUUCGAAGAUCCAUGUGUUUAAAUGUAAAUUUAAAAGAAUCCUUUUCUAAGAUCCAUGUGUUUAAAUGGUAGCAUAAGCAGUUAGUUAUUAUUAUAGACCUCAUCUUAAACAAUUCUUUACCACUGAAACUAUUGACAUCAUAAAACAAUCACUUUUGUUUUGUGGAGUCCAACAUUGUUUUGACAAGUUUUCUCUUCUGAUGUCAAAAUUUUAAAGGAACGUCAUAUAUGUUCAGUAGUUGCUGACAAAUAGCGAUAAGGUGCAUUAUGGGUAGUUUCUAAUUGUUUACAUCCUAUGGAUAAGCCUGUGUCAUGACUCGGUUUUCACUUUAAUCCCUCUUAU